UACGUAGGGUGCGAGCGUUAAUCGGAAUUACUGGGCGUAAAGCGUGCGCAGGCGGUCUUGCAAGACAGGUGUGAAAUCCCCGGGCUUAACCUGGGAACUGCACUUGUGACUGCAAGGCUGGAGUACGGCAGAGGGGGAUGGAAUUCCGCGUGUAGCAGUGAAAUGCGUAGAUAUGCGGAGGAAUACCGGUGGCGAAGGCGGCAUCCUGGACCGAUAUUGACACUGAUGAGCGAAAGCCAGGGGAGCAAACGGG
rnacentral:rRNA from 1 species